CUUGACCCGCGGUGAUUGGCAGGGAGGAGUGGGGCGGGGGUAAAGCAGGUUCUUUAAGAGGUGAUUGGCUGAGUCGGCCGCGGGGCGGGAAGAGGUAAGAUUCGGUUGGGGAUUCGUGCGAGACGAUCGGAAGUUGGCUGCUGUCGCGGUUGUGCCUGGUGUUCGGAGAAAGGAGGAGCGUUUGCGGACUCGGUGUCUGUCAGCAGCAGACACAUGUCCCACCACAGAAGGGAGGCACCUGGGCCCCUUCCCCGGACCUCACCUUCUUCUGUAAGGCGCAGUGAAACACGAAGAUGAAGACCCCCUGGAAGGCGUUGAAGGUGGUGAAGAGAUAGGCCAUGACCACCGACUCCUUGUUGAUGAAGAGGAGGCCGAAAGCCCAGGAAGAGCAGCUCAGCCAGGAAGAGGUUGAUGCACAGGUUCUUGUGGAUGGUGUUCCGGUCAGUCUGCAGUCCCCGCAGGAAGCAGAAGGUGGAGAUGCAGAUUGCCAGGCAGACCAGGGAGAUGACGAUGCCCAC